AGUAGAUAAUCAACAUUAAAUUAAGACGAUGGAGAGUUAUUGGAGAACAUAGCUAAAGUAGCAAUGACUUGAAGGAAAUGGAAAAUGUAUCGCCGCUAGUGGCGCCCCGAAAAAGCAUAUGUAGCACGUGUUCCCUGGGAGUGUGAGAAUGGAGUUCCCACGUGUAGAGGCCCAUCUUCAGAGUUGUUCCCGUACCUAAGUUGCGGUUGAAGACCACAAGACUUCGGUGGAGAAUAUUCUAUCAAUGAAUGUGAAAAGAAAUUGAACUAAAUUUUACGCUUCUUGGUCCUUGAAGAGCAAUCGAAUUUUUCUGCGUUCCAUGAGGUGACUAGAACAUUGUGCUCGGUCUUGCGAAUAAUAAUGGCACUGAGGAAAACAAAAGGCAGACGGAAAAAAAUACCCGAAAUUUCUUUAGACCAGUAAAACAAGUUUUUGCAAAUAGGCGGACAACCCGGUUAUUCCAGUCUCUUCAUCGCCGUAGACUAAACAUUUAUGUACAAUGUGAACUUGAAUAAAUAAAUGCAAUUUUUUAUUUA